rnacentral:rRNA from 1 species
UACGUAGGGGGCUAGCGUUGUUCGGAAUUACUGGGCGUAAAGCGCACGUAGGCGGCUUUGCAAGUUAGAGGUGAAAGCCCGGGGCUCAACUCCGGAAUUGCCUUUAAAACUGCAUCGCUAGAAUUGUGGAGAGGUAAGUGGAAUUCCGAGUGUAGAGGUGAAAUUCGUAGAUAUUCGGAAGAACACCAGUGGCGAAGGCGACUUACUGGACACAUAUUGACGCUGAGGUGCGAAAGCGUGGGGAGCAAACAGG